CGGGACUUGAUGCUGCUUGGGCCUGGCCCAGUGGCGGGUCCUGGGGACGUGGCAGAGGCCGGCAGACUUUCAGAAGGUGAUGGAUGGGAUAUUCUGAGAGUUGGAAGGCGGGCUUUGAGCCACAGAGAGCCACUGCAACAUUUGAAGAUUCUGGUGAUGAUGCUGACUGCCUGGCCACCUAAGAGGAAGAAAGGACUUUUUGGUUGGCGGGACACAGAUACUGGCCCUUCAAGGCAGAAUUCAGGCGAUGGGUGAGUCCCUGUGACAGGUAAGUGACCUUGGAAUCUUUCCAC
rnacentral:lncRNA from 1 species